GUCUUUGUUGGCCCCUUAGCUCUGCCUUUUACUCUUCUGACCCUAAAACACGUGUUCCCGUGGGAGGAAAGGAGAACUGACUGAAAAGCUCCCGGUCUCCCGGAGGUGGUGCUGGGUGCUUCAUGCGUGCUCUCUUCAAACAUUAACCUUAUUUCUCUUCUCUUCCAAAGUUUGUUGAACUCUGUUUCCCCUUUUUAUUUCUGAGAUUUUCAGAAUUUUUUCUAAAGAUUCAAUUUUAAGUGAAGAUUUCUAGUGAUAUUGUGGCAUGUGGGACACCGCCUCAGCGUGGCUUGACAAGCAGUGCCAUGUCCGUGCCCAGGAUUACGAACCAACGAAACACUGGGCCCCCUGCAGCGGAGCGCGCGAACUUAACCACUCGGCCACGGGGCCAGCUCCAGUCCUUAAAAGGAAGAAAUCGGUUUCAGGAUGCAACUCACAGGUCCAUUCCAGAAGGUCAGGAGGUGCAGACGAGUUGAGCUGUUGACUCAGCUGAGCCCUGAGCUAACAUCUGCUGUCAAGCCUCCUCUUUUUGCUGCAGAAGACUGGCCGUGAGCUAACAUCCAUGCCCAUCUUCCUCUACUUUAUAUGUGGGACGACUACCACAGCCGGGCUUGCCAAGCGGUGCCAUGUCCGCACGUGAGAUUUAAACCGGCGAACCCUGGGCCGCCGAAGCGGAACGUGCGAACUUAACCGCUGUGCCACCAGGCCGGCCCCCACUUUUUUCUCCUUUGUAACUGUUAGCGUACUAUUGCGAAGACUGAUUAGAAUACAGUGCAAAUGGAAGUAAUGUCAUGAUGUCAGGCCUAUGUGGGUUAAUUAUCUCCUAUUUCUAUUUCACGGCCACAGAUUACACCCUGGAAGACCAGGCAAGACUGUGUCACUCUAUCGUCACUCUGGCAAAGCAACCAAACCUCAGAAAGACCCCUCCCUUGUUUCUUCCCUCCUUUUCUAACCUGCACAAAUGUUUACUGAUGCUUUCUGGGUGCUGGCACUGUGCUGGUCCUGAGGACACGGAGGUGAACAAGCAGACACAGCACUCUCUCUUAGGAAGAUGGCACUCCAGCGGCUGACACAGGCAUUAAACUGACAAUUUCACACAGAACCUUGGGAUUACAAUCGUGACAUGCUCCUAACAUCGUCCUGCUUAAGUGCACGCAUCUUUUCAAGUGCAGCUAACUUACAGCCCAAGACAGAGGUCUGAUUUUUACAGAAGCUCCAAGAACUUCAUGGAGUUUUGUCCUCAAAGCAGACAGGGACGUGGGGCAGCUGCAGGAGAACGGGAGGAGGAGAGGCCGACGGCGCCGGGCGCAUGCGGAACGAGCGGGUGCCCACCCCAGGGCCCCGCCUUGUGUCUGUGACUCUGCUCUCUAAAGGCUGGCUGUGGAGUGAGACCACGUCAUUCAUUAUCAGCUGGCUUAUCUCCCUCUUGGUUUAUUUGUAGAAAGUUUCCGAAGCGUAUCUGUGAACCCUUAUUCCAUGGGAUGUCAACAAGUGUUACACACACACACACACACACACACACACAAACAGAAAAAACAACUAUCCACAGUCAAAUAAGCUUCUUUACUGCAGAAUUCUCAGGAAUUCUAGGAUCCCAGGCACACUGCGAAUCAGCACGAGAGGAACCCUGAGUGGACACGCUCAUGUUUACUGGUGAUGACGCUUUUUUCUGCAGAACAUCUGACAGGAACAGCACUGCCUGGAAGGAAGCUCAGGAAACACAGGCUUAGCUUCCUCUCUAAAUCAGUUUAUUCUCUUGUGGAUACCAGGGAUGGCAAGGAAGAUGCUUCAUCACGUAGAACAGAGAAGAAAGUGGUUCUGGGAUUAAACUGUUGUUAUAGGGAACUCACAGAACGGCCAAUUCACGCGGACAAAAUCUCUGAGAACUGACAGUUACCGUUGUGUAACUUCAUAAUGGGAUGGCGAGGAUGGGCCCUGGGCUCGUUUUUAUAUACACUGUGAAAGUUGGCAAUAGCAAUCUAUCCCUCGGUAUUUUAGAUCAAUUAUGUAAAGUUAGAAUCAUUUCGAUUUCAUUUCUCUCAAUCCACCAGACCUGAUUUUUAAAAAUUCAAGAUUCACUCAUUUGAUUUAAGUAUCACUAGUGUGAAGUAUUUCCAUCCUCCUUCUACUGGAAGCGAAUUUCCCGGUUAGGACACGGCUUCACUAGAGACGAGUAACAGCGGCUGUAACUGGAUGCUGUGUGAUUUCAUCACGCUGUGAAAACACUUCGACCAGUCCAAAUUGGUCUAUGAAGGUUUCUUUCUGUUUGUUCCAGUUCCAGCUCUCCUAAUCACUCCAGCUCCUGUGUUUGCUGGGAUUUUGUGAUAUCUCUGGAUUCUGACACAUGCUAUGAUUCAGUGCCAAAUUCCAUUUCCUAAGUUAUUG
rnacentral:lncRNA from 1 species